AUCCGACCCACCAGGCAGCGUGUUUUGCCUACACGUGGAGCCAGAAUGAGGUCAUUUGCUUGAAGACACUCAAGUACCAAGCACACACGUUGGCCAUGAAGGGCUUGGGAUUUCUGAGAAGAUGAUGAUGUCAUCUAAGUAGAUCACUACGAACUGCUUCAGAACAUUUCUAAAGAUGUCAUUCACAAAGUGCUAGAAUGUGGCUGGAGCGUUGGAAAGACUGAAGGACACAACAAGGGAUUAGUGAGCUGUUACUCCUUGAAUUUGCUGGACACAGAAGGUGGUGGACUUCUCCAUGCUGUUUCUUAUCCCUGCUGCCUGACUCUGCAAGACACCAUUGCUGGCAAUAGCCUGACUCGAACCAUACCUUUUGCAUCUUCCAGGAGAUAUUUGGAUCAUGGACCAAGAGGCAGGGGAUGCCAAGUGUGAUGGGGAAGUGAGGAUUGACUACAGGGGUUGUCUUUGGUGUGAGAUCUGAGGUGCAAUUGACCUGGGACCAUUCCGAUACCAACAGGGAACCCAUUCCACUGGGAAGGCAGCAGUUGCACUGCAGAGACAGCAGAGGAAGAUGCCGAAGGACUCUGGAGGACCUGCUUGUUGGCAUACACAGAAGGAGUCAAGAGCA